AUUGAACGCUGGCGGCAUGCUUUACACAUGCAAGUCGAACGGUAACAGGCCUUCGGGUGCUGACGAGUGGCGAACGGGUGAGUAAUGCAUCGGAACGUACCCAGAGGCGGGGGAUAACGCAGCGAAAGCUGUGCUAAUACCGCAUGUGAUCUGAGGAUGAAAGCGGGGGACCGAGCAGCAAUGUUUGGCCUCGCGCCUUUGGAGCGGCCGAUGUCGGAUUAGCUAGUUGGUGGGGUAAAGGCCUACCAAGGCGACGAUCCGUAGCUGGUCUGAGAGGACGACCAGCCACACUGGGACUGAGACACGGCCCAGACUCCUACGGGAGGCAGCAGUGGGGAAUUUUGGACAAUGGGCGCAAGCCUGAUCCAGCAAUGCCGCGUGCGGGAAGAAGGCCUUCGGGUUGUAAACCGCUGUUGGCAGGAACGAAACGGUGUCCGCUAAUACCGGGCGCUAAUGACGGUACCUGCAGAGUAAGCACCGGCUAACUACGUG
rnacentral:rRNA from 1 species